rnacentral:lncRNA from 1 species
AUGACUGUGUCCCACUUUACAAUACACAGACCUUAUACCAUAUGUGUCAGUCCCACUUUACAAUACACAGACCUUACACCAUAUGUGUCAGUCCCACUUUACAAUACACAGACCUUGUACCAUGUGUCAGUCCCACUUUACAAUACACAGACCUUAUACCAUGUGUCAGUCCCACUUUACAAUACACAGACCUUAUACCAUGUGUCAGUCCCACUUUACAAUACACAGACCGUAUACCAUAUGUGUCAGUCCCACUUUACAAUACACAGAUCUUAUACCAUGUGUCAGUCCCACUUUACAAUACACAGACCUUAUACCAUGUGUCAGUCCCACUUUACAAUACACCAUAUGUGUCAGUCCCACUUUACAAUACACAGACCUUACACCAUAUGUGUCAGUCCCACUUUACAAUACACAGACCUUAUACCAUGUGUCAGUCCCACUUUACAAUACACAGACCUUAUACCAUGUGUCAGUCCCACUUUACAAUACACAGACCGUAUACCAUAUGUGUCAGUCCCACUUUACAAUACACAGACCUUAUACCAUGUGUCAGUCCCACUUUACAAUACACAGACCUUAUACCAUGUGUCAGUCCCACUUUACAAUACACAGACCUUAUACCAUGUGUCAGUCCCACUUUACAAUACACAGACCUUAUACCAUAUGUGUCAGUCCCACUUUACAAUACACAGACCUUAUACCAUGUGUCAGUCCCACUUUACAAUACACAGACCUUAUACCAUGUGUCAGUCCCACUUUACAAUACACAGACCUUAUACCAUGUGUCAGUCCCACUUUACAAUACACAGACCUUAUACCAUAUGUGUCAGUCCCACUUUACAAUACACAGACCUUACACCAUAUGUGUCAGUCCCACUUUACAAUACACAGACCUUGUACCAUGUGUCAGUCCCACUUUACAAUACACAGACCUUAUACCAUGUGUCAGUCCCACUUUACAAUACACAGACCUUAUACCAUGUGUCAGUCCCACUUUACAAUACACAGACCGUAUACCAUAUGUGUCAGUCCCACUUUACAAUACACAGAUCUUAUACCAUGUGUCAGUCCCACUUUACAAUACACAGACCUUAUACCAUGUGUCAGUCCCACUUUACAAUACACAGACCUUACACCAUAUGUGUCAGUCCCACUUUACAAUACACAGACCUUACACCAUAUGUGUCAGUCCCACUUUACAAUACACAGACCUUAUACCAUGUGUCAGUCCCACUUUACAAUACACAGACCUUAUACCAUGUGUCAGUCCCACUUUACAAUACACAGACCGUAUACCAUAUGUGUCAGUCCCACUUUACAAUACACAGACCUUAUACCAUGUGUCAGUCCCACUUUACAAUACACAGACCUUAUACCAUGUGUCAGUCCCACUUUACAAUACACAGACCUUAUACCAUAUGUGUCAGUCCCACUUUACAAUACACAGACCUUAUACCAUGUGUCAGUCCCACUUUACAAUACACAGACCUUAUACCAUGUGUCAGUCCCACUUUACAAUACACAGACCUUAUACCAUGUGUCAGUCCCACUUUACAAUACACAGACCUUAUACCAUAUGUGUCAGUCCCACUUUACAAUACACAGACCUUACACCAUAUGUGUCAGUCCCACUUUACAAUACACAGACCUUGUACCAUGUGUCAGUCCCACUUUACAAUACACAGACCUUAUACCAUGUGUCAGUCCCACUUUACAAUACACAGACCUUAUACCAUGUGUCAGUCCCACUUUACAAUACACAGACCUUAUACCAUGUGUCAGUCCCACUUUACAAUACACAGACCUUAUACCAUAUGUGUCAGUCCCACUUUACAAUACACAGACCUUACACCAUAUGUGUCAGUCCCACUUUACAAUACACAGACCUUGUACCAUGUGUCAGUCCCACUUUACAAUACACAGACCUUAUACCAUGUGUCAGUCCCACUUUACAAUACACAGACCUUAUACCAUGUGUCAGUCCCACUUUACAAUACACAGACCGUAUACCAUAUGUGUCAGUCCCACUUUACAAUACACAGAUCUUAUACCAUGUGUCAGUCCCACUUUACAAUACACAGACCGUAUACCAUGUGUCAGUCCCACUUUACAAUACACAGACCUUACACCAUAUGUGUCAGUCCCACUUUACAAUACACAGACCGUACACCAUAUGUGUCAGUCCCACUUUACAAUACACAGACCUUAUACCAUGUGUCAGUCCCACUUUACAAUACACAGACCUUAUACCAUGUGUCAGUCCCACUUUACAAUACACAGACCGUAUACCAUAUGUGUCAGUCCCACUUUACAAUACACAGACCUUAUACCAUGUGUCAGUCCCACUUUACAAUACACAGACCUUAUACCAUGUGUCAGUCCCACUUUACAAUACACAGACCUUAUACCAUGUGUCAGUCCCACUUUACAAUACACAGACCUUAUACCAUAUGUGUCAGUCCCACUUUACAAUACACAGACCUUAUACCAUGUGUCAGUCCCACUUUACAAUACACAGACCUUAUACCAUGUGUCAGUCCCACUUUACAAUACACAGACCUUAUACCAUGUGUCAGUCCCACUUUACAAUACACAGACCUUAUACCAUAUGUGUCAGUCCCACUUUACAAUACACAGACCUUACACCAUAUGUGUCAGUCCCACUUUACAAUACACAGACCUUGUACCAUGUGUCAGUCCCACUUUACAAUACACAGACCUUAUACCAUGUGUCAGUCCCACUUUACAAUACACAGACCGUAUACCAUAUGUGUCAGUCCCACUUUACAAUACACAGAUCUUAUACCAUGUGUCAGUCCCACUUUACAAUACACAGACCUUAUACCAUGUGUCAGUCCCACUUUACAAUACACAGACCUUACACCAUAUGUGUCAGUCCCACUUUACAAUACACAGACCUUACACCAUAUGUGUCAGUCCCACUUUACAAUACACAGACCUUAUACCAUGUGUCAGUCCCACUUUACAAUACACAGACCUUAUACCAUGUGUCAGUCCCACUUUACAAUACACAGACCGUAUACCAUAUGUGUCAGUCCCACUUUACAAUACACAGACCUUAUACCAUGUGUCAGUCCCACUUUACAAUACACAGACCUUAUACCAUGUGUCAGUCCCACUUUACAAUACACAGACCUUGUACCAUGUGUCAGUCCCACUUUACAAUACACAGACCUUAUACCAUGUGUCAGUCCCACUUUACAAUACACAGACCUUAUACCAUGUGUCAGUCCCACUUUACAAUACACAGACCUUAUACCAUGUGUCAGUCCCACUUUACAAUACACAGACCUUAUACCAUGUGUCAGUCCCACUUUACAAUACACAGACCUUAUACCAUGUGUCAGUCCCACUUUACAAUACACAGACCUUAUACCAUGUGUCAGUCCCACUUUACAAUACACAGACCGUAUACCAUAUGUGUCAGUCCCACUUUACAAUACACAGACCGUAUACCAUAUAAACUGGAUGGUUUGA